CUGACGCCCAGAGCAAGUGAUCACCAUGACAACCAAAGACUACGCCACGAGCGUCAUUCUCAUUGGAUGUCAACUGUCAACCUUUCACCCGGAAAUAGCAUUGCGGUUUUCCCUCUUGGCGUUGGCGAUCCUGCAAUUUUCAUUUUAUAGCAUUUUCUGUAAUUCCUUCUUGGUUUAUCCAGAAGCAACACAAAGGCACUUUUUAGAGCCACAUCUGUCUUAUUGGUCUUGUUGUCUUGUUAACCUUUCCUUACUUUAUCUCACCCCCUGCUCUAUCUCCACCCUCCUUUCCUGACCCCCAUCCCCCACCUCCACCCCACCAUCACUUUUAAGAACCACGUCUGUCUUGUUGGUCUUGUUGUCGUCUUGUUAACCUUGUCUUGCCAGUUUUUUCUGUGUGUGUGUAUCUUCUGUUUCUUUGUCAUGAGUGACUCAGAGCUUGAGGAUUUACUCAGCGUUGCUGACCAUACAGAAGUCAUUGAUGACCUUGAAAGGGUAGAUGACCUGCUCAAUGAGUUGCAGAAAGAGGAAGCAGCAGCCCAAGUACCAAUGGUACUUCCUCCAACAGUGAGUUGGAAGAAGAGGGACAGUGAUGGCAACUUAAUCUUUGCUAGACCACGAUCAAGCAGGAAACAGUCAACCCUGGCAGUUGAUUCAGCUGGCUCUCAGAGGACUCCAUCCAUCAAGUCUUCCAACACCAGCUCUGAGGUGGUCUUUACUAUAGAUUUUGGUAAGCACUUUCUUUGGUC